CUUUUUACAUUCUUCUGCUGCAUCCAUAAAAUGCUCCACUGCUGUCGAGUGUCCUUUGACUAUGGACCAAAGGCAACCCCUGCAGUGUUUAUAGAAUAAUUUAAAGACCAUUCAGGCCACAUAAUAUGAGAAUGCAAUUUUGUAGGAUUACAAAAAAGCCAUUAAUAUGCCAGUCAAGACUACAGUUAAAACUACUCUUGCACUGCAACAGUGCAUAUGACCUUUAUGUGAUUGUACAGUAUUAAAAAGGUUUUUUUGCUUAUGUACAGUAAACUUUAUCAUAUGGCAGCAGCCUCUAUUGUGUUAAAUAAAUUAGGCAAUUUAAUAUUUGUUCCUAGAUGUAACUCAUUUGAAUAGAUUUCUGCAUUUGUUAUUCAGCAAUGUAUAAAGCUAACCUUGAUAAUUUUACUUUUAAUUAAUUAUCUAAAUGGAAAAUGUUGUUAGCCGAACCACAUCCACCACAGCACAGAGAGCUCUAUCCGAGUUUAGAUGUAGAUCAUUGGAGGUUAAUAAAUUAUCUUCCAAAGCAGUGAGCCAAUCAAUACAACUGCAGUUGGGG
rnacentral:lncRNA from 1 species